rnacentral:rRNA from 1 species
UACGUAGGGCGCAAGCGUUAUCCGGAAUUAUUGGGCGUAAAGAGCUCGUAGGCGGUUUGUCGCGUCUGCCGUGAAAGUCCGGGGCUCAACUCCGGAUCUGCGGUGGGUACGGGCAGACUAGAGUGAUGUAGGGGAGACUGGAAUUCCUGGUGUAGCGGUGAAAUGCGCAGAUAUCAGGAGGAACACCGAUGGCGAAGGCAGGUCUCUGGGCAUUAACUGACGCUGAGGAGCGAAAAGCGUGGGGAGCAAACAGG